rnacentral:rRNA from 1 species
AAUGAACGUUGGCGGCGUGGAUUAGGCAUGCAAGUCGAGCGCGAAACGUAGCAAUACGUGGAAAGCGGCGAAAGGGAGAGUAAUACAUAGGUACGUACCCUUGGACCUGGGAUAGCGGCGGGAAACUGCCGGUAAUACCAGAUAAUGUCUCCGGACCGAAGGUGUGAUUCCGUCUGAGGAGCGGCCUAUGUCCUAUUAGCUAGUUGGUAAGGUAACGGCUUACCAAGGCAAAGAUGGGUAUGGGGUGUGAGAGCAUGCCCCCACUCACUGGGACGUAGACACUGCCCAGACACCUACGGGUGGCUGCAGUCGAGAAUCUUCGGCAAUGGACUCAAGUCUGACCGAGCGACGCCGCGUGCGGGAUGAAGGCGUUCGGGUUGUAAACCGCUGUCGUAGGGGAGGAAAUGCAGGUGGGUACUCCCAUCUGCUUGACUGAUCCUAGGAGGAAGGACCGGCUAAUCUCGUGCCAGCCGCCGCAGUAA